UACGUAGGGGGCGAGCGUUGUCCGGAUUUAUUGGGCGUAAAGAGCGUGUAGGCGGCCAGGUAGGUCUGCUGUGAAAACUCGAGGCUCAACCUCGAGACGUCGGCGGAAACCAUCUGGCUAGAGUCCGGAAGAGGAGAGUGGAAUUCCUGGUGUAGCGGUGGAAUGCGCAGAUAUCAGGAGGAACACCGGUGGCGAAGGCGGCGACCUGGGUUGACACUGACGCUGAGGCGCGAAAGCGUGGGGAGCAAACAGG
rnacentral:rRNA from 1 species